rnacentral:lncRNA from 1 species
UGCAAGUGGCCGGUGGACUUCUCGGAAAAUCACCUCUUCUUGAAAAGCUGGGAACUGAGCACACUGUCUUUGAAGGCACUGUCAAGUGUCAGGACUUGCUAGAUUGGAUUGUGCUGUCCUAAGAUCUUCCCAGGGUGCAUUUAGGAAGCUGGCAGGGAACCUGGAAGCACGAGGAGAUUCACGGCCUUGGAAGUCAGAUGACCGAAGUUCUCAACAGGGUCUGGGGAGAAAUCCAUCGUUCCAGGUCCUUCUGUGUCACAUUCUGGUGACUUGCUUUUUCAAUGCCGUGUAGUCAAACAGAGACACAGCAAAAAAAUUAGUUAGGCAACUCAUUUCUAUUAUUAUUUUAGAGAGGCUUUAUGAAUGGACUAGGCCUUUACUAAGUUGAAUUGCUUUGAAAAUAGUACAGUCAGGACUAGGGUUGUAGCUCAGUGGUAGACAGGUUUAAGAAAAGGAGUUCAGCUGGGCCCUGGUGGCUUAUGCCUUUGAUCCCUGCUUGGGUGGCUGAGGCAGGUACAAGCUGAUACUGACUGUAGAAGACUGCAGAAGUUAUUUAGGUUUGGCAGACCGUCCCUUUGGAAGAGCAUUUCCUUUUGUGGAGACAGCAGAACUGACUGUGUUAUUAAAACCCACUGUGAUGAUAAAACACAAUGAAUCAGAGAAAUUAAUAGCCGAGUUAGGCUUGACCAUGGACACAUAGGACACAUGAACUCAUUCUAAGGGAAGCUGUAAUAAUUAUGUAUAAAUAUCUGAAUAAUAACCACACUCCCCAAAUUAUGUGGAAAUUAUACCCCUUUCAAGAAACAGUUCACAU